rnacentral:rRNA from 1 species
AGCGUUAUUCGGAAUUAUUGGGCGUAAAGAGCGCGUAGGCUGGUUAGUAAGUUAAAAGUGAAAUCCCAAGGCUCAACCUUGGAAUCGCUUUUAAAACUGCUAACCUAGAGAUUGAAAGAGGAUAGAGGAAUUCCUAGUGUAGAGGUGAAAUUCGUAAAUAUUAGGAGGAACACCAGUGGCGAAGGCGUCUAUCUGGUUCAAAUCUGACGCUGAGGCGCGAAGGCGUGGGGAGCAAACAGGAUUAGAUACCCUGGUAGUCCACGCUGUAAACGAUGAGUGCA